rnacentral:lncRNA from 1 species
GCGUAGCUAUAGGUUGAGGCCAGGAUUUUUUUUUUUUUUUGAGAUAUAAUACAAAGGAUACUGGACAUAAAAUGGUUAGACCAGAAGUUAUAAACCCAUGUCGUUAAAGGCAGGUAGGUAACGGAGAGGUCGAAAGGAAUGGGGAAUUGGUGGUUUGGGUUCCUGGAAAGACAAUAGGGACUGGUUGAAAUCUGCAAUUUAAAAGACAUAAUCUAUCUGAAGGCAUUUGUGGUAGCCUGACUCUAACAUGGUCCCCAGUGGCCCUCAUCUCCUGGUAUUACCCCCCUGUAUAGUCCCUGCCUACACUGUACAGGGUUGGUCUUUGUGACCACUUACACAUGAAAGAAGCGAUGGCAUAACACUUCUGAGCUUAUGUCAUAAAAGACUGCAGCUUCUCUCUGCGUACUCUCUCAGCUCUCUCUGGGGGAAGCCAGCUGCAUGUCAUAUGGACAUUCAGGCAACCUAGGGUGUGAAUAAUGUGGCAAGGAAAUAAAAGGCCUGCUAGCAAAUGCUCAGUUGAGCUUGGUAAUGGGUCCUCUCCCAGCAUCUCCAGCCAAGAGCUUGACUGCAACCUCAUAUGAGAUUUUGAGCCAUAACCAUUCAGCUAAACUGCUUCUGGAUACCUGACCAUAGAAACUGUGAGAUUAUAAGAGAAGCAGAUCUUAGGGGGACAAGAGUACAUAUGAAACACAGCAGAGGAGUAGGAUAUGUCUUUGAAUGAAGAUGCCUGAGGGACUGAAUAAAGAACCUGGACAACUAAAGAAAAAAGACACCUAUGGAUCAGAAUUGAGACAAUUUCUUCAGAACUUCCAGUUUCCCAAGACGCAACAUUGAAUUCAAUCAGAGGUAAAGAUUCUGGACUAUUGGAUUAAAUGAGGAGGCAGGAGCUACUAUCUCUUGCAGUGUGAAACCAGGGCCGGGGAUGAAGAUAUGGACACAUCUCAGCUUUCCAGGGAUGCUGUGAUGUGGUGAAAUUAUGCCAUUCAUUAGAAGGUGAUACUGUCAUCAAUGUGAGAGGCCCAGGACUCUGCAGGGCCUGAAGAAAUCCUGGGCAAUGAGUCUGAGGGAAGUCUCUCAGAGCAGCUACUCUGAGAGAGUAAAGCCGCAGCCUUUGUGGGGCACAAUAUGGCAACUGAGCCAUAACAAUCCAGUGCGUGCAGCAGCUCAGCAGUUGUCCAACCACAAGGAGGCGCCAAAGGGCUGACUGCCAGUUCUACGCGGGACGCCGACUAUUUGUCCCAGCGGUGGAGAGUAUCAAAGCAGGCAACAGGCAACAAGGAAAAUUUCAAGCGGGUUGAAAACCUCAUUCAAGAAGUCCCUAGAAAGAGCACCUGGGAUUCUCCUUGCUGGUUCUGCCUCUGCCACUCUUCACAUCAUUAAUACUGGGUUCCACCUGGCUCUGUUUUUCAGGGCUUUGCUCUCAAAUCUAGGCACUUCCUGGUACUCAUUAACACAGAUCAAGAAAUUUUUCUUUCACCUCGUAUUCCCUCUAGGUUUAAUUCUCUGCUGUAAUCUGACGACUCAUUCCAUCUAAGUCAUGGGAAACUGAUAAUAAAUUAUUUGGGGAAUUUUUGGGAGGGUUGUCUUCUUCCUAAAAGAUGGGGAUGGGGCUCUUUGAGUCACUUGAGUAGACCUCAGCACUCAGUGGGCUGGAGAUCUGGAGAUGUCACAGAGAGGUGGUUUCAUCUUGCCAAAAAAAAAGAUUAUAUGUAUAGGUAUAUAUACCUAUACAUAUAAUGUAUGUAUGUGUAUAUGUAUAUGAUAUAUAUAUGUG